CAAAUUUGGCUUGGAGCUGUGAAGUCAUUAAUUGAAAACACUGAAGGCAGAAGGUGUCUGGGGAUUACUGAAUACUAAAUUCUCUAGAUUCAUGGUGUUUGAUAUUAGAAGAGAUCCAAUACUGUUUUCUGGCAGGAGAGGAAAAACAACUUAGAACCAGCAAUUUAAGGACUGCUGCCAUCAGAUUGGUCUAAUCCAGUUCCAGCUGCUCUACUGCGCCUGUGUGUGAGCAAGGGAGCUCAGCAGGGAAAGAGAAUAAAGCAUCCCGGUUCAGCCAGCAGCAGGACCUGGAGGAAUAUUCAAGCUCACGGGGGGAAAUAAAGUCUUCGUUAAA